AUGCACAAUAACUUAACAGCCACCCCUCAGGCGCAGCACAAGAUGCAGGGUGGAUUCCUUCUGGAUGUUGUAGUCGGACAGGGUGCGACCAUCUUCCAGCUGCUUGCCAGCAAAGAUCAGCCUCUGCUGAUCAGGGGGAAUGCCUUCCUUGUCCUGGAUCUUGGCCUUCACAUUCUCAAUGGUGUCACUGGGUUCAACCUCAAGGGUGAUGGUCUUGCCAGUCAGGGUCUUCACAAAGAUCUGCAUGCCACCCCUCAGGCGCAGCACAAGAUGGAGAGUGGAUUCCUUCUGGAUGUUGUAGUCGGACAAGGUGCGUCCAUCUUCCAGCUGCUUGCCAGCAAAGAUCAGCCUCUGCUGAUCGGGGGGAAUGCCUUCCUUGUCCUGGAUCUUGGCCUUCACAUUCUCAAUGGUGUCACUGGGUUCAACCUCAAGGGUGAUGGUCUUGCCAGUCAGGCGAUCUGAGUAUGUGUAGCAAGUUCAGUACUGUUCCUUUGUUCAGAUAAAAAUAGGGCUACUUGCCACAGGGAAAAAACAAUGUAUAUUCCUAUCUCAUAAUAUCACUCAUACCUACCUCAGGUCUCUCUCACUGUGUAUGACACAAGAUAAUUAUAUUUACCCGUUUACAGUUGUGGAGAUAAAUAUUUUCUCCCCAAACCUGUAACACUGCAAUAAGGCCCAGUCUUUGCUGAAGUUCCAGCCACAAGACAAAUAGAGCUGUGGCAUGUUACUGCUUGUCCUUGUACUGCCAAGCUCAAGGGUUACAAAAAUAGCCACAAUUCAAAGUACUGUGAGAUUGACUGUAAUAUUAUGAGAUUACCAAAAAAAGACAACUAUCUGGGUUUUGUUUUUUAAGCCUUACACUAAAAAUACCUUAAAUAAAAAAAGUUUUUAAUAGGCUGCCAACUUCAGGAGCUGAAAGCUUAAGAAAAACAAAUAGAUAUCCAGAUUUGUAGUAAAAAGAGGAAAAUGAGCAAUACUCCUCUGUCUCCCUGUUUUGUUUGUCAAAAAGCAUAUUUUGACUUCGCAGGACACAUGGGAUACAGCUUUAAGAUCUGUGCUGCCACAAUAAACAAGCUUGGGCAUGUCUUUCUCUGUAGGUCUAAAUGACCCAGAGGAACAUGUGGCAAUUCACUAGGCUUCUGAUGUAAGGAGACUUCUAAAGGGUGUUUUAUAAAGACACCAUCAGCCUAAAAUCACAGGUUUGUGUCUGCAUGUUAUACCAGCGAAAGCAACAAUUAAUAACUAGGUCUAUUCUAAAAAUUACUUGUCUGCAUCUUUUCAGUCUGCCUCCUGCGUGUGAGUCUUUUGGAUCUGCUCCAAGCUGCACUGCAGUGAAGGAGCUCUCUUUGUUCACGUUCUCUCUGCUGCGUCUGAGCUGAUUUAGCAUGUGGCUUCUGGGGUGAGGUUUUCCAGCUAGAUAGCAAAGAAGCACCUUGAAAAACAGAAAGAAGAAAUAAGUCCUAAAACACUGUUAAUCAUUAUUAAUAUGUUUCAAUAGAACCUCUUUAACAGUGAACAAAACAAACACUGUCAAGGCCAUUCUGAACAGCCUUCAUCCAUUGGCCCAGAGGUGAUACCUCCUGUAUUUUGUUUUCAGAUCCAGCUUGGAUCCCUUGAUGGCAAGGAGAAUGUCCAGAAUGCUUCCCCCUCUGCAAUAGUAAGACUAAAAUCCAAGCCCUGACAUUUUUCUCCCCUGCACAAACUAUGUAGUUUUAACUACCUCAGUUCUUUUAAGUAUGGUGUUAGCUAUACACUGCUUAUUAGACGAAAAGCAUCCACAGUUCCUGAUUCUCUUUAACCCACAAACAGUUUCAGUGUUGCUUUUGUGAUGAAAAUACCCUUGCAGACAGAAUCUCAAUGCAGGCUGCAACCCAGGUCUGCAGAGCUGAGUCACUGUUAUACAAGCAGAGCUGAGAUGGCACAGAAAAACAUCUUUGUACUUUAACAUUAAAACACGUCAGCUGUUGAACUUCGAAUAUCACAAGACACCUAAAGAGAACAAACAGUGAUUUACUGGACUUUUCCUCUUGUCCAUCCCAUCAUCUUUCUGAGUAAUUCUUCCUUCUCCAUUUUGUCUCAGAAGCUUAAGAGCAAAAGCAUUCUUCAUCAGGCUAUUGGCUUCUACUAAAGUUUGCCAAACAUUGCAUCAGAUUUGGAAGUAACCUACCAGUGAAAGAAAAGCUGUUAACUCUUUGGGCACUGGGAAACACCUGCCGCCCAGGUACACUGACAAUACAGUAUGCAACCACUGAAAUUUAGAGCUUGCAAACCAGAAUAGCAGUGAAAUUUAUAAUCAGCCAGAGAUCCACUAUAAAGCUCUUGAAUUGAUUAUUUAUAUGAGACACAGUUUUGAGCUUUAAGAGUCCUUUGUAAUAAAAUACAAAACAAAUGAAAGAGGAAGAAUUGCUUUACUAUAGCUUUCUGAAACAAAACUGCAGUUUGUUCUUCCAUUUUUGUCUUCCAGUUCUUUAUCCUGAAGCGUCAUAGGGCAACAGACUUUAACUUCUCAAAAUGCUUUCUACAUUUAAAAUAUGCUGAACUAAUUGUGGAGGGGCACAGAGAGUGAUAGAUCUGCAGAUAUUACAUGGACUGGAUAGCCACUGCAGUUUUCUCACUGGAACUGCUUUUUCAGAGUCUACAAGUGCUAGUGUCUCCUGUCUUGCAGAGUGGAGGUCAUUUGUGUGAACUGAUCGCUAACAAGCUCCUAAAAUAUGUUCUGGCUUUCAGUUUAGUGCAGUUAACUGUUUUUAGAAAAGGACAGACCAUGUAGGCUGAAACCUGCAAAUGCUGCUGGCCGUACCCAACACUGAAGGCAAAUUAAACCAUGCUGCAAACUGCAUAGGCUCAGUUUCAGUUCCUGGUCUCCAGUUUCACUUCAGUGACUUUUCCUCCCAAAAUAUAAGGUGAGUAACAUGAAAUCUAGUGUGACUAAAGGUCUGGGAGUGGCUCAGAUCAGGAGCGACAGAGGAACAUGCUGGCAUGGGCCAGAAUUUGUCACAUACGUAUGGUGUAUUAAAAUGGUUCCAUUAGGAUGAGUAACCAGUACAGAGGUUCACAUGAGGAAUAACAGGAAAUUGUAACUCAGUGCCCUUUCCUAUCAUCAGAGAAGAGAGGUGCUGAGCCACAGGAUUGUUAUGCGAGUCCUGGUAUGUGCCAUCUCAGGAGGCAGCCUACACACUGUAGUCGCAUGUUUUUAAAGCUGUUUUCCAGACCAGAGAGUGCUGAUAGCUAUUUCAUCAUUGUCCAGUUGCUUUGCUGUAUUCCUGGCUGAGACAUGACCCUUUGGUGCUUCUACCCCACAACAGACUGUCAGCUCACUUGUUUACAUCUUUCCCUGUUCCCCUUCUUGAGAGGAGCAAGACAUUAAGUCCUGUUGAAAAUACAAAUUCUUGAUUAUAACUCAAACAAAAUAAAUUUCCAGUCCUGCAACACUGGGCACAAAGAUUUGUGCUUGGACUGAUUUCUG
ensembl:lncRNA